GGAGACUGUUCGUGUGUGCGGGGGAACUUAAAAAGCAGUCUGCCCGCCUAGGUGCUGGAUUUCAAACCCCUGUGGCCAUGGCAGCAGUAGGAACAUCUGAAUUCAAUGAUUUGGAAGGCCUCUUCUAUGCAUGGACGGCUCCCAUUCCAGAAGCAUGAAUUUCUACAGCAAAUCUAACACUGACAUUACGACGAGUCGCUAACGGAUUGUUGGGACCACAGCCAUGGUUACGUGAAAGGCCAGUACAGACUUUUCUGGAACUUUCAAAAUAAACUGCAUUAACCUACUUCCGGCACAGCCAGGAAACGGGGUAAGUGCGGAUUCCUGUGACGUCACUGUCCAAAUAAAAGCACCGCUCUUGCUACAUCCUGUCUCUUCUACGCAGGUCACCCAG